rnacentral:lncRNA from 1 species
GUAAAUUAAUGAACUAAUCACUAAACAGAAGUAGACGGGAGGGAGAAAAAAAGGUUCAAACCUGGAUAAUGAUGAUGUCUGAUGGCGUGUGAAUUAUAUACUGUAAAUGCUUAGUGACUGGAAGUCAGAGACUCAAAAUAAAACAAAAUCUGUCUCCUCUGUUGCAAAUGAUUCUAUGGAUCAAUGUUAGGAGCAAACAACAAUAUUAUUCUAAUUUUGGAUUCAUGAAUUUCUGUAUUAUUAAUAUAAAUUGAUCAAUGAUAGAACCAAUAAACAAAAUAUAACUAAGAACAAGAAUGAAGCCUUAUCAACCAUAGUGUAUUUUGUGGGGCCAGAAAUACUACUAAUCUAAAUUAGAGAAACUGCUGCACAUAAAGAAAUAUAUGGACCCAAGGUAUUAGCUCUUUGUCUAAGGAUCAUAUCAUUAUAUUUCUAUUUAUGCUCAUAGAUAUGUAAACCAUGGAAAAUGUAAGUACCUUUGUGACUGAGUAAAUGAAAUGAAGAAAAUAAGAACCAAUAUACAGAAAGUCUCAUUUUUUCCUAUCACCUCCUCUGCUUUUUACUCCUCAGAAUGGAUGCCUAUUAGCAGAUUUCAGCAUCUCCCAUGGUCAUGUGCUCUGCAGACUAAGAACGGACCAGUGGGGCUGGCUGGAAAGCUCUUCCACGGACGCGCUCUCUGGUUGCCUCCAUGCCUUCGGUGUAUAGAGGCCCACAAAGAGAACCCGGAAGUUCAUGGUGGCCUCACUGUAGCAGCCUUAAGCCCACUAAUCAAUGCACUCAAGCGGAUGCAUGCGUUUUCCAUGAUUUCCUUUGUGUGUUGA